GUGCUUGCUUCAGCAGCACACAUUCUAAAAUUGGAACAAUACAAAGAAGAUUAGCAUGGCCCUGGUGCAAAUAGGUGAUAGGUUAAUAGGAGGGCACUUGUGAU